UGAACCUGGUUAACAUUGCUCAAUAGCCAGCACAAGUGAUCUUUAAACCAGAUUAUUAAUCAUUUGAGAAAAACCUGCUCCACGUUCUUGCUAAAGGGAUUUGUAUGUUAAGUUGCUUCACAAAACAUUUUGUGUGAAGACUGAGAUGUAUCAUAACAUAAAAACCAGUGGUGGCUGUGAGCUGGGAUGGCAAUUGCUCAGCUACGCGGCCCAACUACAUGGCCCUUUCUACAGGAGUUUCAACACUGCUAUUUGGGAUGUCUUAGUGAAGCGCCUGAAGUUACAAGGAAGGAAGUAAAAACAUCAAUCUGCAUCUGCUCUCUCCUGCAGAGUUGUCAUCAGUCAUCUUGUCUGGACUAGCAGGUUAUAUUUCCUCGAGAUUAACAAGGGUUUGAGUCUUUGUCUUCCCCCUCCAUCUUCAUUCAGGCUGGACUACAACUGAAAUCAUGUUUCACCUUCUGGCAGAAAAGCAGGUGGCAUUUCAGUAGGCUCAGUGAAAGCAUUCUGCUAUGUGGAGACACAACAUGAACAUCUUUCCUCCAUCAACAGCUCCACUGGGGCAACCUUCUUACUCUCCUUCAACUUGUCAUUCCUGGGUCUUCUCUUCCCUUGCACAUGUUUUGUAGAUAAUGAAUAUGCAGUUGGUUCCCCUAUUUUGACCCAAUCCAUAUGUUCAAGGAGGGAAGCUUUCUUCUCUGUCUCACUGCACAUGGCAUGGUACUACCAUUUUCUGCUUGGGUUUUUUUUUUUCUUUUUCAGCCCAGAUAUUUAGCAAAAAAAUACUACUGGAAAAAUGUGUUUAUUUGCCUCUUCAUUCCCUCUUUCCUUCCUUGCCAGCUCCCUGAAAUAACUUUAGGAUUUGCUAGGUAGUUUCCAAACAAGUUUGAUCAAAUGGAAGUAGCUUCAAAUGCUAUGAAUAUAGCAAAGAAUUAAAUGCAUCUGGAGCUGUUCCCUGGCAUAGAACAGUUCUUGCCCAUGUUAUUAAACAUUGUUCUCCCCACUCUGUGUAUUGGGAAUGGUUCUGGGCUUGACUCCACAGCA